UUUUUUUUUUUUUUUUUUUUCAAGGCGCCCUUUCGGGUUUUCACCUAAAGAAUAAAAUACAUCUCGACCAUGAUCGACUCAGAAAUAUGAGUUAAAGGUUUCAGGCAUCAGUAAAAUGCACUUCCCUUGUAGAUUAGGCGAAGGCAUUACGGACAUCACUUGCCAGUUGAUUAUCAAAUUUUGCUAAUAGAAAUGCAACAAAUGACGGAAGCCAGGACUUUGGGCUUUGUAAUGAGGUCAGGUGGGGUGUUUUUCCAGAAAGGUUAAGGCUUGAAAGCAAAU
rnacentral:lncRNA from 1 species